GGAGGAUGCGAGCGUNAUCCGGACCUAUNGGGUNUAAAGGGAGCGCAGGCUGGAGAUUAAGCGUGUUGUGAAAUGUAGACGCUCAACGUCUGCACUGCAGCGCGAACUGGUNUCCUNGAGUACGCACAAAGUGGGCGGAAUUCGUGGUGUAGCGGUGAAAUGCUUAGAUAUCACGAAGAACUCCGAUUGCGAAGGCAGCUCACUGGAGCGCAACUGACGCUGAAGCUCGAAAGUGCGGGUAUCGAACAGGAUUAGAUACCCUGGUAGUCCGCACGGUAAACGAUGAAUACUCGCUGUUUGCGAUAUACUGCAAGCGGCCAAGCGAAAGCGUUAAGUAUUCCACCUGGGGAGU
rnacentral:rRNA from 1 species